rnacentral:rRNA from 1 species
GUGGUGGUCCUGCAUGAAACGCUCCAUGAAAUCCAUACGAAAAAACUAGAUGGGGUGGUUUUUAAAGUGGAUUUCGAAAAAGCGUACGACAAAGUCAAAUGGCCAUUCCUUCAACAAGCGUUGAGGAUGAAAGAUUUUGAUCAAGCCUGGCGAAGACAGGUAGAAUCUUUCACGCAAAAAGGCAAUGUUGGAAUUAAAGUGAAUGAUGACAUAGGUCGCUAUUUCCAAACACAUAAGGGCCUAAGACAAGGAGAUCCAAUGUCACCUAUUGUGUUCAACAUUGUAGUUGAUAUGUUGACAAUUCUAAUAGGAAGGGCUAAGGAUGCUAGACAGGUAGGUAGCUUGGUACCUCAUCUAGUUGAUGGAGGUGUAUCUGUCCUACAGUACGCUGAUGAUACUAUCAUCUUUGUGGAG